rnacentral:rRNA from 1 species
AUGAACGCUGGCGGCGUGCCUCAUCCAUGCAAGUCGAGCGAACGGACGAGAAGCUUGCUUCUCUGAUGUUAGCGGCGGACGGGUGAGUAACACGUGGAUAACCUACCUAUAAGACUGGGAUAACUUCGGGAAACCGGAGCUAAUACCGGAUGAUAUUUUGAACCGCAUGGUUCAAAAGUGAAAGACGGUCUUGCUGUCACUUAUAGAUGGAUCCGCGCUGCAUUAGCUAGUUGGUAAGGUAACGGCUUACCAAGGCAACGAUGCAUAGCCGACCUGAGAGGGUGAUCGGCCACACUGGAACUGAGACACGGUCCAGACUCCUACGGGAGGCAGCAGUAGGGAAUCUUCCGCAAUGGGCGAAAGCCUGACGGAGCAACGCCGCGUGAGUGAUGAAGGUCUUCGGAUCGUAAAACUCUGUUAUUAGGGAAGAACAUAUGUGUAAGUAACUGUGCACAUCUUGACGGUACCUAAUCAGAAAGCCACGGCUAACUACGUG